CGGGACAUAUUAUUGGCAUUUUACUAUAAUUAUCGUAUGCAUCCGCUCCAUAGUCUCGAACAACAUUUGGACCUGCUAGACUGUAUUAUUGGGAUGUUAUGGGAGAUACACCAUAGUUUAAGGGAUAAGGUGAAGAUACAAAGGUUAUAUGAAACUGUUCCAGAACCUUGGGCUUCAGUCAUAAAUGAGAUUGUGCUAUGGUCUGAUGAUGACCUUUCGUAUGAGGACCUUACAUAUUUGCUUCG
rnacentral:lncRNA from 1 species